UGCAAGUCGUGCGGACCUUUUAAAAGCUUGCUUUUAAAAGGUUAGCGGCGGACGGGUGAGUAACACGUGGUCAACCUGCCUGUAAGACUGGGAUAACGCCGGGAAACCGGGGCUAAUACUGGAUCGUUUUUUCCUCCGCAUGUAGGAAAAAGGAAAGGCGGCUUCCGCUGCCACUUAC
rnacentral:rRNA from 1 species